rnacentral:lncRNA from 1 species
AGUCGGACAUGACUGAGCGACUGAACUGAACUGAACACGUUCUUAGUGAUGCUGAUGAUGCUGGUCCGCGGAUAACAUUGAUAACCGCAUUGCUUGUUUAAAAAGCCCUGAUUUCUUUUUGGCCUUCAGAAAGAGUUUUCUAGGCUCUCUGGUCCCUGGCUAUAUCUGACCUGUACUACUGGUAGAGGCAGGUGAAGAUUCCAUACUGGCAAUGCAGUAUUGGACUUUGUUCUCAGAAGUUCCUGACAUGAAUGCUGUGUUGGCUGCUUGUGAAUGAUAAAGAUCCUCUCCCUUUCAUACUUCCCUGGUGGCUCAGACGGUAAAGCGUCUGUCUACAAUGUGAGAGNNNNNNNNNNNNNNNNNNNNNNNNNNNNNNNNNNNNNNNNNNNNNNNNNCAACCCACUCCAGUACUCUUGCCUUGAAAAUCCCAUGGACAGAGGAGCUUAGUGCAGGCUACUAUCCAUGGACUUGCAAAGAGUCGGGCACAGCUGAGCGACUUCACUUUCAUACUUAAUCCAAGUCUCAACUCUGAAUCUCUCCAACCAGACAGUUCUUUCUCUGGGAGAAUAAAUUUGGAAUUCUGGCCUGUCUGCCCCCAUACAUCUCCUGAAUUGUUGAUAACACCCAUGACUACCUUUAAACAUCUUUUAAAUCUUCAAUAGCUCAGUGGUAUCUGAAACCCACAGUAGUUGCUUUUCUUUAUUUUCCAUUUUGUUACAAAAUUAUAAUUGACAGACAAUAUCAUAGUGGCCCUUCUCUUUCCUCAGUGAGUCUGGCUAAAGGUUUGUUAGUUUUGUCAAUCUUUUCAAAGAGCCAAUUCUUAGAUUCAUUGCUCUUUUAAAAAAAUGUUUUUAAAGUUUCAAUUUUAUCUUCUUGGAGAAUAAUCUUCCUUUGUAACAUAAGUGACAGGCCGAGAAAUGCUGUGAGGUGCAUUUUUUUUUUUUUUUUUUUGGUGAGGGUCUUUAGUGAAUAAGAACUCUCAUUUCUUUGUUCAACAGUCUGUUCAUCUUUAUAUACUUCCAGAGACAAAUUGUUCUCAGUAGUCGAGUAGUUUCAAAUAAACUUUUUUCUCUAAUAAAAUAUCACAGACCUAAGUGUAUUAUUAAAGUUGUCAGUGUGUCAACUGUAUACCUUUCACAAUUUUACCAAUUGCAAAAUGAUUUUUUUGAAAAGCAGUUUAAUUCCAAUUUGGUUUCCGCAAUUUGGAUUAAUGAAAGUUCUUUACCAUUCAGACACUAUGUUUUUUGUGGCCUCCACAAGUUGAUUCUAAACUAUCAGCUAGGAAACAGAACAAACAUUCACAUGUGCACACACACACACACACACACACACUCAGGAAUCCAUCUUCUUCUUCUUCUCUUUCUCCAUCAAUAAAUUCCGAUUUGGUAAUUUUGAGUAUCAGCCAGCUUUGGAAACUACUGAGACAGUUUCUUGCCCAUCUAUAUACCUAACUUAUCUGUCCAUUAUCCUCCUUUCCUUACUCUAAAAAAGAUUUACGGUACUGUCUUAAUUAAAUAUAGUCACUUAGGAAAGUAACCAUUUAAGAAAAUAGAUAAAAAGAUCAAUAAUGUAAUAGUUAAUCUUUAUCUUCCUUCUCAUAGUUUUAUGUUUUCCAAAUUUUCUUGGCAUGUAUUAGUAUAAUUAAAAUUUUUUAAAAGACUGAAUUUUUUAUGGAUUAAAAAAUUUGAUGAAGUUACUUAUGAGGGUUUCCCUACUUAUGUACUGUUUCAUACUUAGUGAGUUAUCAGUUAACCAAGUAUUUUUAUUUUUAGGACUGUCUGUUCUCCCAGAGGACUAGAAAGGAAAACUUUCACACCUAUUACUUUCUAGAUUUCUGGUAAGAUGGAAGACCUCUGAAAUUCUACCGGUUUCUGUUUUUUUGGGGUUCUGCAACAGCCUCUGGAGGAAUGAUGCAUAUUAUCUUUAUAGCCAACAAUGUUAUAUAAAACAUAAAAAGGGCUUUCCUUCUUUGAUUGGAAUUUGAAGUUGUAAUCUAGCAUGUUAGAAGAAUCAUUUAAGGCUCUCUGCCCAAUCAGCAGUAACACCCCAAGUAUGUUAGUCACUUAGUAAUGUCCAACUCUUUGCAACGCCAUGGACUGUAGCCCCCUGCCAUGCUCCCCUGUCCAUGGAAUUCUCCAGGCAAUUUCCUCCUUCAGGGGAUCUUCCCAACCAGGGAUCGAACCCAGGUUUCCAGAAUUGCAGGCAGAUUCUUCACCAUCUGAGGCACCCCGGAAGCCCAAGAGUGAAAUUUAUUUGUUGCAGUGGAUUGCUUCCCUCUAAUGGUGAAAAGUAGUCAUACCACUUCAUUUUUAGUGUUUAGGUUCUUAGUCUCAAAUAGUUUACAAAUUAUUUCACACCAUGGUUUGCUUUGAUUAUGAUUAUUAUAAUCUAUGCUUUUGUGAUAAUAUCACAUGAUAUUGAUGCCAAAACCAUUAUCUCAUGAUUUUAACAAUCAAAGCAAUAACAUCUAAGAAGUUCUAGCUCGUUACUUC